rnacentral:rRNA from 2 species
GUUGUAUGGUUAAGUGACUAAGCGUACACGGUGGAUGCCUAGGCAGUCAGAGGCGAUGAAGGACGUACUAACUUGCGAUAAGCGCAGAUAAGGCAGUAAGAGCCGUUUGAGUCUGCGAUUUCCGAAUGGGGAAACCCAACUGCACAAGCAGUUACUGUUAACUGAAUACAUAGGUUAACAGAGCAAACCGGGGGAACUGAAACAUCUAAGUACCCCGAGGAGAAGAAAUCAACCGAGAUUCCGGUAGUAGCGGCGAGCGAACCUGGAUUAGCCCUUAAGCACUCGGUGAAGUAGGUGAACAAGCUGGAAAGCUUGGCGAUACAGGGUGAUAGCCCCGUAACCGACGCUUCAUCGAGCGUGAAAUCGAGUAGGGCGGGACACGUGAUAUCCUGUCUGAAUAUGGGGGGACCAUCCUCCAAGGCUAAAUACUCCUGACUGACCGAUAGUGAACCAGUACCGUGAGGGAAAGGCGAAAAGAACCCCUGUGAGGGGAGUGAAAUAGAACCUGAAACCGUGUACGUACAAGCAGUAGGAGCACCUUCGUGGUGUGACUGCGUACCUUUUGUAUAAUGGGUCAGCGACUUAUAUUCAGUGGCAAGGUUAACCGUAUAGGGGAGCCGUAGCGAAAGCGAGUCUUAACUGGGCGCUCAGUCUCUGGAUAUAGACCCGAAACCGGGUGAUCUAGCCAUGGGCAGGUUGAAGGUUGAGUAACAUCAACUGGAGGACCGAACCGACUAAUGUUGAAAAAUUAGCGGAUGACUUGUGGCUAGGGGUGAAAGGCCAAUCAAACUCGGAGAUAGCUGGUUCUCCCCGAAAGCUAUUUAGGUAGCGCCUCGGACGAAUACUACUGGGGGUAGAGCACUGUUAAGGCUAGGGGGUCAUCCCGACUUACCAACCCUUUGCAAACUCCGAAUACCAGUAAGUACUAUCCGGGAGACACACGGCGGGUGCUAACGUCCGUCGUGGAGAGGGAAACAACCCAGACCGCCAGCUAAGGUCCCAAAGUAUUGCUAAGUGGGAAACGAUGUGGGAAGGCUCAGACAGCUAGGAUGUUGGCUUAGAAGCAGCCAUCAUUUAAAGAAAGCGUAAUAGCUCACUAGUCGAGUCGGCCUGCGCGGAAGAUGUAACGGGGCUAAGCAAUACACCGAAGCUGCGGCAAUGCCUUUUAGGUAUUGGGUAGGGGAGCGUUCUGUAAGCCGUUGAAGGUGGUCUGUAAGGGCUGCUGGAGGUAUCAGAAGUGCGAAUGCUGACAUGAGUAACGACAAAGGGGGUGAAAAACCUCCUCGCCGGAAGACCAAGGGUUCCUGUCCAACGUUAAUCGGGGCAGGGUGAGUCGACCCCUAAGGUGAGGCCGAAAGGCGUAAUCGAUGGGAAACGGGUUAAUAUUCCCGUACUUCUGACUAUUGCGAUGGGGGGACGGAGAAGGCUAGGUGGGCCAGGCGACGGUUGUCCUGGUUCAAGUGCGUAGGCUUAAGAGUUAGGUAAAUCCGGCUCUUUCUAAGGCUGAGACACGACGUCGAGCUGCUACGGCAGUGAAGUCAUUGAUGCCAUGCUUCCAGGAAAAGCCUCUAAGCUUCAGAUAGUCAGGAAUCGUACCCCAAACCGACACAGGUGGUCGGGUAGAGAAUACCAAGGCGCUUGAGAGAACUCGGGUGAAGGAACUAGGCAAAAUGGUACCGUAACUUCGGGAGAAGGUACGCUCUUGAUGGUGAAGUCCCUUGCGGAUGGAGCUGACGAGAGUCGCAGAUACCAGGUGGCUGCAACUGUUUAUUAAAAACACAGCACUGUGCAAAAUCGCAAGAUGACGUAUACGGUGUGACGCCUGCCCGGUGCCGGAAGGUUAAUUGAUGGGGUUAGCGCAAGCGAAGCUCUUGAUCGAAGCCCCGGUAAACGGCGGCCGUAACUAUAACGGUCCUAAGGUAGCGAAAUUCCUUGUCGGGUAAGUUCCGACCUGCACGAAUGGCGUAAUGAUGGCCACGCUGUCUCCACCCGAGACUCAGUGAAAUUGAAAUCGCUGUGAAGAUGCAGUGUACCCGCGGCUAGACGGAAAGACCCCGUGAACCUUUACUACAGCUUGGCACUGAACAUUGAACCUACAUGUGUAGGAUAGGUGGGAGGCUAUGAAGACGUGACGCUAGUUGCGUUGGAGCCGUCCUUGAAAUACCACCCUUGUAUGUUUGAUGUUCUAACUUAGCCCCAUUAUCUGGGGUGAGGACAGUGCCUGGUGGGUAGUUUGACUGGGGCGGUCUCCUCCCAAAGAGUAACGGAGGAGCACGAAGGUGGGCUAAUCACGGUUGGACAUCGUGAGGUUAGUGCAAUGGCAUAAGCCCGCUUAACUGCGAGAAUGACGGUUCGAGCAGGUGCGAAAGCAGGUCAUAGUGAUCCGGUGGUUCUGUAUGGAAGGGCCAUCGCUCAACGGAUAAAAGGUACUCCGGGGAUAACAGGCUGAUACCGCCCAAGAGUUCAUAUCGACGGCGGUGUUUGGCACCUCGAUGUCGGCUCAUCACAUCCUGGGGCUGAAGUCGGUCCCAAGGGUAUGGCUGUUCGCCAUUUAAAGUGGUACGCGAGCUGGGUUUAGAACGUCGUGAGACAGUUCGGUCCCUAUCUGCCGUGGGCGUUGGAAGAUUGAAGGGGGCUGCUCCUAGUACGAGAGGACCGGAGUGGACGAACCUCUGGUGUUCGGGUUGUGUCGCCAGACGCAUUGCCCGGUAGCUAAGUUCGGAAUUGAUAAGCGCUGAAAGCAUCUAAGCGCGAAGCGAGCCCUGAGAUGAGUCUUCCCUGA